rnacentral:lncRNA from 1 species
CAGGAGGGAGAGGGCGGAGCAUCAGAGGGGGCACGGAGCGCCACCGCCACCGCAGAGCCAAACAGGAAGAGGAAAUCACAGACGCCACCUAAUAACUUUUAAAAAUGGAGCUGUACAGAAAAAAGCCUAUAUGAAAAAAACAAACAAAAAGCCUUAUGACCUAUACUGCAGCCUGUCACCAGAGGGCGCUGUUCUCAGAGAGAGGAGGCAGACGGCGUCUAUUCUAGAUACAGUCUAUGAUCAAAACCAGAGGAAACUGAAAAGACCCUCCGAUCAGGAUCUGAAGGUCCUGUUUCUUCCCCUUUCAUCAGGACCGUCUGGGGGUGGGGACCAUAAAAACUUAAAGCCGCCUCACACGCGUUCUUGUGCAACACUACAGGAAGUCCUCAGAAACCCGCGCAGGAAGAGGAAGAUCUGAGAGAGCGAGCGGGGGCACGAGGUGACAGCAGACUGUCAGCGAUAUAAGAGGGCGCUGAAUUAUGGAGGACCUCAAAACCAGUCCUCAAAGAUGAGGCUGAUGAAGUCAAGGAAGUGUGUGUGUGUGUGUGUGUGUGUAAACCAGAGUGUGUCUGUUACCUGCUACAACGUUCAGAGUAAACAAAAGAGGAGCUUCAUGAGGAGAAGAAACCAGAGACAGACUGAGGAGCAGCGAGGAGAACCACAUGAGAAAACUGUUCCUACCUCAUCGAGAAGAUCUUCAUGUCUCCAUGUUCAGAAAAUACAUUUAUAAGAAGUUAAAAUAAACUAAAGUCCAUAUUUGAGUCGACGCAGCAGGAAACUCUGAAACAGUUCAGGUUUCAAAGUUUCAUAAAUUUAUUCGUUAACCUUCGUUAGUUUGAAGAAGUGCUGAGGGUCAAUAUAUCAAUAUAAACAUGAUCAAUAUGCUUUUCAAUAGUCGUCAUUCUGACAUGUUUCGGUCGACUAUAAGAACAGCCAAUGAAAAGGGGAGUGUCUCCGGGUCUGAACCAAUCAUGUUCUGAAUUAGAACCAAGUAUCAACCAACUGCAGCGUGGUAGCAGACAGCAGCUCCACCCAACCAUAGCACUUUAACAGGUGAAGCCGACAGCACUGUUGGUGAGAAACAAAGAAAAUGAGUGCUACCCCCGACAGAAAUGACCAUGAAGGCUCAACAGAUGACCACAUCAAUGUCAACCACAACACUGGCGUUAGGAAAACGUCGGUGGUGUGGAGGUAUUUUGGUUUUUGGAGGUCGGACAUGAAGCAGAGUAAUGUGGACUGUAAAUUAUGUCGAGUCAUUAACAACUUUUUCCCGUAUCUCUGGGCCCUAGGUUGAGGUUUUCUGAACUCUCUUAUAUCUUCAGACUGUGAGUCCAAAACACCGUUAGAUAUUAAAGCACCAUGGUGACGCUAAACCACAAAGAAGACCUACUGAAGGAAAACCUGAACCAGUAGACCCCCCCUCAUCAUCAGGGCACAGGUGUGAUUCACCUGGACGAGGGAUCGACGUCUUUGUUUCCUAAAAUCUCAUGAAUACAGACGGAUCAGAGUCUGAAAAUCUCCAGAAAACUUCAGCUCUGACCGACUCGGUGAUAAAAAGAGCAGAACUUUAAUGAUGGACUCCAGGAUGUGGACUUAGAGGAGCCCUCUGAAGGUCCUCACAUCAGAGCAGAGCUCACACCUUAAACACGAGUCCAAACACAGACGCUUCAAACGGCGCUGAGCUUCAGAGUCACAGCGGGGAGUUCGGUCCGUUUGAGAAGAGAAACCAGAACCUUCAGUCAGCUGAGAGAGAACCAUCAGAGAUGAUCGAAGAAGAAGAAGAUCAGAGACUCUUCAGUUCUUCAUCCUCUCACAGACCAACAUGAAGACUCUUUCAGGAAGUCUGAGAACAUCAUUAACAGACGACGGUCCUUAAAUACAGAUCUGCAGAGAGACGAUCAGCCAACAUGGACGCCAACCACAGACAAGAGCAGAAUGACCCGUGUUCCCAUGAGUCCCCGUGGGCUGACCUGCAGCCGGAGCUUCCUCAACGCCAAUCUGACCCCUAAUUUCCACCGCAUCCAGAACAGCUCUGAUCCGAUUUUCACCGUCCGCCAAUUUCUACCGGAUCAUUUUUGAGGCAAAUUUCGUGGCGGAUUACAGACAGCAGGAAUCAUGAGAACUCACAAGAACCCGCAGAUUCACGUUCAAUCUCACGAUAACGAGUUGUCUCUCUAAAGACAGACACAUAGACAUAUAAGCAGUAGAUUGUGUCCUUCCAGAGGAGGAAAUCUACUUCUAGACUUCUAGAAUCAGCAUCUCCUCAUCCAUGGUGUCAUCGGGGUGAAAUGACGUCUAAAAACCUUUCACUUGUUCGUCUCCGCCCGUUUUGAAAGAAGUCGGUGUAAAUCGACACGUUAACUUGAAUGGUUACGAUCAGCUACGAUCGGAGGAUACGACCUUUUAGGAGACGAUCAGGAUGAAGGUCGGCGGUCACCCUCCCACAGACGGCGUCCUCGACUCUGUUUGACCUGAAGAAAAAUAAGCACCAACAUUUGAUUCCUGCUUUAAACUCGGAGGACGGACCCGGGGGGGGGGACACAUGUUGAUGGUUCUGAAUCCUGCGGCCUGAUCCUGGAGCUCCGCCCCCUCCUCU